rnacentral:rRNA from 1 species
GACGAACGCUCGCGGCGUGCUUAACACAUGCAAGUCGAACGGAAAGGCCCUGCUUUUGUGGGGUGCUCGAGUGGCGAACGGGUGAGUAACACGUGAGUAACCUGCCCUUGACUUUGGGAUAACUUCAGGAAACUGGGGCUAAUACCGGAUAGGAGCUCCUGCUGCAUGGUGGGGGUUGGAAAGUUUCGGCGGUUGGGGAUGGACUCGCGGCUUAUCAGCUUGUUGGUGGGGUAGUGGCUUACCAAGGCUUUGACGGGUAGCCGGCCUGAGAGGGUGACCGGCAACAUUGGGACUGAGAUACGGCCCAGACUCCUACGGGAGGCAGCAGUGGGGAAUAUUGCACAAUGGGCGGAAGCCUGAUGCAGCAACGCCGCGUGCGGGAUGACGGCCUUCGGGUUGUAAACCGCUUUCGCCUGUGACGAAGCGUGAGUGACGGUAAUGGGUAAAGAAGCACCGGCUAACUACGUG